rnacentral:rRNA from 1 species
AGCAGCCGCGGUAAUUCCAGCUCCAAUAGCGUAUAUUAAAGUUGUUGCAGUUAAAAAGCUCGUAGUUGAAUUUCGGGGUCAGUAGGUUGGUCGUGCCACUGGUAUGUACUGGCUUCACUGAUUCCUCCUUCUUGUAGAACCGUAAUGCCAUUAAUUUGGUGUUGAGAGGAAACAGGACUGUUACUUUGAAAAAUUAGAGUGUUUAAAGCAGGCUAACGCCUGAAUACAUUAGCAUGGAAUAAUGAAAUAGGACGUUCGACCCUAUUUUGUUGGUUUCUAGGAUUGACGUAAUGAUUAAUAGGGAUAGUUGGGGGCAUUAGUAUUCAAUUGUCAGAGGUGAAAUUCUUGGAUUUAUUGAAGACUAACUACUGCGAAAGCAUUUGCCAAGGAUGUUUUCAUUAAUCAAGAACGAAAGUUAGGGGAUCGAAGACGAUCAGAUACCGUCGUAGUCUUAACCAUAAACUAUGCCGACUAGGGAUCGGAUGAUGUUAAUUUUUAAUGACUCAUUCGGCGCCUUACG